rnacentral:rRNA from 1 species
UUGACAUACUAAGAACUUUCCAGAGAUGGAUUGGUGCCUUCGGGAACUUAGAUACAGGUGCUGCAUGGCUGUCGUCAGCUCGUGUCGUGAGAUGUUGGGUUAAAGUCCCCGCAACGAGCGCAACCCUUUUCCUUAUUUGCCAGCGGGUCAUGCCGGGAACUUUAAGGAUACUGCCAGUGACAAACUGGAGGAAGGCGGGGACGACGUCAAGUCAUCAUGGCCCUUACGGCCAGGGCUACACACGUGCUACAAUGGUCGGUACAAAGGGUUGCUACCUCGCGAGAGGAUGCUAAUCUCAAAAAGCCGAUCGUAGUCCGGAUCGCAGUCUGCAACUCGACUGCGUGAAGUCGGAAUCGCUAGUAAUCGCGGAUCAGAAUGCCGCGGUGAAUACGUUCCCGGGCCUUGUACACACCGCCCGUCACACCAUGGGAGUUUGUUGCACCAGAAGUAGGUAGUCUAACCGCAAGGAGGACGCUUACCACGGUGUGGCCGAUGACUGGGGUGAAGUCGUAACAAGGUAGGCGUAGAUGA